UUUUGUUGUAAACUGUUUAUUCGCUUUAAAGCAUGCUGCUGGUUGGGAUUAUUUUGUAUUUUUAUGUAGGUUGAAUUCUGUUGGGUUUGUUCAAUUUACAGGGGGGACUCUGCCAAAAUUUUGGUAGAGAGUCUUGGUUUUUAGUAAGUGGGCCCGGCAUCGGGGUGAUGUCGGAACAAAGACGGGAUUCGCCCUGGUUUCAGGGAAAUUCUGGGGCGGGUCCUGUCACUACAAAUGUUUUGAUUGCAUAAGCUUGAGCUUUAAGGUACUAGAUUCGAGUCCUAGUAUCUAUGUAGUGUGUAUGAGUUUAGUAUAUAUUAUCACCCCUCUUAAUUGAAAAAGUUGUCCCAAAAAAAAAAAAAAAAUUCUCUCAAUGGAGACAGAUUUUAAACUUCUUAUUAAUU
rnacentral:lncRNA from 1 species